rnacentral:rRNA from 1 species
GACGAACGCUGGCGGCGUGCUUAACACAUGCAAGUCGAACGGAAAGGCCCUGCUUUUGUGGGGUGCUCGAGUGGCGAACGGGUGAGUAACACGUGAGUAACCUGCCCUUGACUUUGGGGUAACUUCAGGAAACUGGGGCUAAUACCGGAUAGGAGCUCCUGCUGCAUGGUGGGGGUUGGAAAGUUUCGGCGGUUGGGGAUGGACUCGCGGCUUAUCAGCUUGUUGGUGGGGUAGUGGCUUACCAAGGCUUUGACGGGUAGCCGGCCUGAGAGGGUGACCGGCCACAUUGGGACUGAGAUACGGCCCAGACUCCUACGGGAGGCAGCAGUGGGGAAUAUUGCACGAUGGGCGGAAGCCUGAUGCAGCAACGCCGCGGGCGGGAUGACGGCCUUCGGGUUGUAAACCGAUUUCGCCUGUGACGAAGCGUGAGUGACGGUAAUGGGUAAAGAAGCACCGGCUAACUACGUG